UCCGUUGUGAGGCGGAAUCUGAAAGAAGCUGUAAGCAAAGUUCCGGCUUGAGGAACACGAACCACAUAUAGGCUGAAUUAAGUCGGGCGAGUUUGCAUAACAAAACGAAGCCCAAUACUACCCGAGGCUUAUACAGUAGAUGUGGUGUCGAUACGCUUGAGAAAUGGG
rfam:Peptococcaceae bacterium BRH_c4a BRHa_1002833, whole genome shotgun sequence.